rnacentral:lncRNA from 1 species
GGUACCUUUAUUUUAAUGCCCCUGCUGUAGCUUAGAUGGUAUUAAGUUUUAUCCUUGUCUGUAGAUCUUCGAAACAAAUAUAUUGAUCCCCCUGUUAUAACAUUGAUGUCUAUUCUACUGUAUGAUAUUGAUGUACCAGUAUUUGAUAACAUUCCAUCUCUAUAAAUAAGAUGUGGUAUGAGUGCCAAUGAAACUACUCUCCAUCCAAGUCACAAUAUAUAAAAAGUUAACAAUUAUAGGUCAAAGAAGGGCCUCCAACACAGAACCUUGGGUCACAACAAAACGCAACCUAUAAAGAUCUAUAAAGGGCAGAAAAAGACCAGUGAAAACAAAUCAAAUGGAAAACCCAAUGGUCUAAUCUAUAUGAAAAACUAGAAACACCUAUAAACCAAACCAACAAAUUACAACCACUGUACAACAGGUUCCUGACUUUAAUAGGACAAGUGCA